rnacentral:rRNA from 1 species
GGGGACAGGGCGGCGUGCUAUACUGCAAGUCGAACGAACUUCCGUUAAUUGAUUAUGACGUGCUUGCACUGAAUGAGAUUUUAACACGAAGUGAGUGGCGGACGGGUGAGUAACACGUGGGUAACCUGCCCAGAAGCAGGGGAUAACACCUGGAAACAGAUGCUAAUACCGUAUAACAGAGAAAACCGCCUGGUUUUCUUUUAAAAGAUGGCUCUGCUAUCACUUCUGGAUGGACCCGCGGCGCAUUAGCUAGUUGGUGAGGUAACGGCUCACCAAGGCGAUGAUGCGUAGCCGACCUGAGAGGGUAAUCGGCCACAUUGGGACUGAGACACGGCCCACACUCCUACGGGAGGCAGCAGUAGGGAAUCUUCCACAAUGGACGCAAGUCUGAUGGAGCAACGCCGCGUGAGUGAAGAAGGGUUUCGGCUCGUAAAGCUCUGUUGUUAAAGAAGAACGUGGGUGAGAGUAACUGUUCACCCAGUGACGGUAUUUAACCAGAAAGCCACGGCUAACUACGUGCCAGCAGCCGCGGUAAUACGUAGGUGGCAAGCGUUAUCCGGAUUUAUUGGGCGUAAAGCGAGCGCAGGCGGUCUUUUAAGUCUAAUGUGAAAGCCUUCGGCUCAACCGAAGAAGUGCAUUGGAAACUGGGAGACUUGAGUGCAAAAGAGGACAGUGGAACUCCAUGUGUAGCGGUGAAAUG